UGAGGAAUAUUGGUCAAUGGGCGAGAGCCUGAACCAGCCAAGUAGCGUGCAGGAUGACGGCCCUAUGGGUUGUAAACUGCUUUUAUGUGGGGAUAAAGUGCGUGACGUGUCAUGCAUUGCAGGUACCACAUGAAUAAGGACCGGCUAAUUCCGUGCCAGCAGCCGCGGUAAUACGGAAGGUCCGGGCGUUAUCCGGAUUUAUUGGGUUUAAAGGGAGCGUAGGCUGUCUAUUAAGCGUGUUGUGAAAUUUACCGGCUCAACCGGUGGCUUGCAGCGCGAACUGGUCGACUUGAGUAUGCAGGAAGUAGGCGGAAUUCAUGGUGUAGCGGUGAAAUGCUUAGAUAUCAUGACGAACUCCGAUUGCGCAGGCAGCUUACUGUAGCAUAACUGACGCUGAUGCUCGAAAGUGCGGGCAUCAAACAGG
rnacentral:rRNA from 1 species